rnacentral:rRNA from 1 species
ACCUACGGGGGGCAGCAGUGGGGAAUAUUGCACAAUGGGGGAAACCCUGAUGCAGCGACGCCGCGUGGGCGAGGAAGUACCUCGGUAUGUAAAGCCCUAUCAGCAGGGAAGAAAGAAAUGACGGUACCUGACUAAGAAGCCCCGGCUAACUACGUGCCAGCAGCCGCGGUAAUACGUAGGGGGCAAGCGUUAUCCGGAUUUACUGGGUGUAAAGGGAGCGUAGACGGUUACGCAAGUCUGGAGUGAAAUGCCGCGGCCCAACCCCGGAACUGCUUUGGAAACUGUACAGCUAGAGUGCAGGAGGG